UCUCGGUGAUGAACAAAUAAUAAGAUGACGAGUCCGAUCUCAAAUCCAUUCUUUUAGAAAUCGUGACGACAAAUCGAGGCAUUUGUCUGAGAGAU